rnacentral:rRNA from 1 species
UUGCCUACGGGAGGCAGCAGUGGGGAAUAUUGGACAAUGGGGGCAACCCUGAUCCAGCCAUGCCGCGUGAGUGAUGAAGGCCUUCGGGUUGUAAAGCUCUUUUGGCGGUGACGAUGAUGACGGUACCCGCAGAAUAAGCCCCGGCUAACUUCGUGCCAGCAGCCGCGGUAAGACGAAGGGGGCUAGCGUUGUUCGGAAUUACUGGGCGUAAAGCGCGUGUAGGCGGGUUGCCAAGUUGGGUGUGAAAGCCUUGGGCUAAACUCAAGAAAUGCAAUCAGUACUGGCAGACUAGAGGACCGGAGAGGAUAGUGGAAUUCCCAGUGUAGUGGUGAAAUACGUAGAGAUUGGGAAGAACACCAGUGGCGAAGGCGGCUAUCUGGACGGUUUCUGACGCUAAGACGCGAAAGCGUGGGGAGCAAACAGGAUUAGAUACCCUGGUAGUCC